rnacentral:rRNA from 1 species
GACGAACGCUGGCGGCAUGCCUAAUACAUGCAAGUCGAGCGAACAGAUGAAGUGCUUGCACUUCUGACGUUAGCGGCGAACGGGUGAGUAACACGUAAGGAAUCUACCUAUAAGCGGGGGAUAACAUUCGGAAACGGGUGCUAAUACCGCAUAAUAUCUUCUUACGCAUGGAAGAAGAUUGAAAGACGGCUCUGCUGUCACUUAUCGAUGACCUUGCGGUGCAUUAGUUAGUUGGUGGGGUAAUGGCCUACCAAGACGAUGAUGCAUAGCCGACCUGAGAGGGUGAGCGGCCACAUUGGGACUGAGACACGGCCCAAACUCCUACGGGAGGCAGCAGUAGGGAAUCUUCCGCAAUGGGCGAAAGCCUGACGGAGCAAUGCCGCGUGAGUGAAGAAGGCCUUCGGGUCGUAAAACUCUGUUAUAAGAGAAGAACAAAUUGUAGAGUAACUGCUACAGUCUUGACGGUAUCUUAUCAGAAAGCCACGGCUAACUACGUGCCAGCAGCCGCCGAAA